rnacentral:rRNA from 1 species
UGGGGAAUAUUGCACAAUGGAGGGAACUCUGAUGCAGCGACGCCGCGUGAGUGAUGAAGGAAUUCGUUUCGUAAAACUCUGUUCUAUGGGAAGAAAAGGACUGUACCAUAGGAGAAAGCUCCGGCUAAAUACGUGCCAGCAGCCGCGGUAAUACGCAUGGAGCGAGCGUUGUCCGGAAUUAUUGGGCGUAAAGGGUGCGCAGGCGGCUUUACAAGUUGGAUGUGAAAUAUUGUGGCUCAACCACAAACGUGCAUCCAAAACUGCAAAGCUUGAGUUAAGGAGAGGUAAGUGGAAUUCCUGGUGUAGCGGUGGAAUGCGUAGAUAUCAGGAGGAAUACCGGUGGCGAAGGCGGCUUACUGGACUUAAACUGACGCUCAGGCACGAAAGCGUGGGGAGCAAACAGG